UAAAGGACAGUCCUAAACUUGCCCAAGCAAAAUUUCUGUCAUCUUUGGGAUUCAUGUUCGCAAACUUUUUGGCUGAUCAGCAAAAGAGUCUGGAUCUGAGCCUGCCUAAGAAGUGUGUGUAUAAGAACAUUCACUUCUCAUUUCACACAAUUCAUGGAUUUCUGAAUAAUAAAAGGAAGGUGGAGCUCCUCAGGAACCAGGCCAACAGUCUCAGAAAUGUGCUCUCAGUUUCUCAUUGAAGCAUUUUUGUUUGUGAACACAUACAGACACUGACUGAUAGAGCAUCAGACACGUAAGCUCAACAAGAGGUCGUCAUUGUGGUGCAUUGACAGACAUUUAUAACACCUGAAAAAAAGAGGAGAAUGAAGGUCCUGAAGAACCCUUGGUACACUAGGCUAUUACAAUGCAUGGAGCAAGGACAGUGACAUCUCCCAGGGUACUGUCAAUCAAGGAGUACUGAGACAAAACCAGACAACAGAGACCAUUGUAAACCCAUUGGAGGGAAAAAGGAAAAAAAGAAAAAAGCAUAACAAGUCUUUGUUUUAGCCUUCAGAACAGACACAUCUGUGUGUUACUCUAUCUGCUGCAAGCUUAUGGGAUAGCAUGAGUUGGUCUGACCCCAAUGGGAACUGAUACAAAUUGGAUGCUAAUUCUCUUGUGUCCUGCUCUCCAGUGAGACUGUCAGUGCCAACUAGCCUUCUCAGGAAAAGGAGCACUGGCUUUCCAUGCUUGCUUGUUUCUAGAUUCAUUUAAGAGACAGAGGUUGCAGAAGCUUGGAUUUCCCAGGUAAGCUGUCUCACCAUGCGUCCUGUUGGGAAUCUUCUAUGAAGACAGUGAGUCAAGAGUAACUAGCUCUCACCCUCAGGGGUGUCUUGUUUAGUAAGAGCCUGUGACUGACAGAUGCUAAGAAGAAUGAAAAGACAUUUUACAUCUGUUUAGUGUCUUGACUGUCAGCCAUUCCUUUCCACACUGGCUAUUGUCAUUCCUCCUAUAUCCAGGAAUCCUACUGCUGCCAAUGCAAAUGUCAGACCACUGCGGAGCUAUAGUGCAAUGCAGCAUACAUUAUACAAGAAAUGAAAAGUGGAUUGGGGUCACUGCAUAGGGGAAUGCACUGUUUCCAAAGUAAGUUCAUUACUCCAGACCUAAGAGUUUGGACCAAUAAUUAGACCAUUGGCUAUUCUGUUGCACAUACAAAAUUCAAGAGUAAAUCAAUCACACAUGGAGUUUUCCACAUUUAUUUAUUUUCCUUGCAAUUUACUUAUGUAUUUAUUUUGCUGCAAACUUUUAUAUUUCAUCCACUGAUGGUGCAUAAAUAAUGCAGUACAUUUACAGCACUUGUUAUGAGUGGAGAGAUCACAUUUCUCCAUUCCCAUAGCAUUCAUAGAAGAAUCAUUAGGGGUUUGGAUUUUCAUUAUUUCUCUAUUCUCAUCAGAUCUACUGACUAUUCAACAGUUGUUUUUUCUGUAGCCUGAAAGAAACUGCAUAUAAAAUAGGUUAUAAAGAAAACCAUGCACUUAUUUUGGAAAAAACAGAUAAAUUAAUCAUAUGAUUUCAAAUAGCAACUAUAACCAACAAGACAAAAUUUGUGUAUUGCAAUGGAAAUGUUUUGUCUAAUUAGUAAAGACAGCGCUUUUUGCUCUAAAUCUAGCCUGACAACUGGAAUAGAAGAAAAGGAAUAAAGUUUACAAUGUGAAACCAGAAAUUACCUGCCUGAUGAAGACUAUCUAAACUACAAUAAAUGUACAACUGCUUAAAAUAAACAAUAAUUAUAAUGACCCCAUUCAACCUUCAUCACUCUUCAACCCACUCCAGGUCAAAAGACUGUGUAAAUUAUGAGCUCUUCAGCAUGCCUGGAAUGUUAGCAAAUCUGGGCUCUGGAGCAGUUGGUGGCAAGUGAACUUUGGAGUGAAGGGUCAUUCACAGGAUUGUAGUCAGCAACAGAAGUAUCAUCAUCCUUCAGCUAAAUGCAUCUCAUGCCCUUUUAAGCAAACCUACAUUCAGCUCAUCACUUUUCCACAAAGGCAAAGCAAUCUACUGGACACCUUUGUUCCACAUUCUUGGUGCAUGAUUCUAAUACAUAAGAUAAAUGGGGUACUUCUGAAUUAUCCUUGUGUUGCAUGUAAAGUCCCCUAAGCUCAAGCUAAGAAUGUUCUGAAUAAUAAUACAUCAGUGAUCUUCCAGAUAUCUUUUAAAACCAAGAAGAUGUGUCAAUAUUGUUGACUUCAGGAGCUAAUAACAGACUUACACAUGAAAGAGCCAUAUGCCAUAAGGUUCUGUAUCCAUGUUAGUCUACAGAAGCAAACAGUAUACAGUCUAAUUUCCAAGACUGUUGAUCUGAAAAGUCUGGAAAAAAAGGUCUGAAAACCUGACAAUUAAAAGGGGAAUAAAAGUCACAUGAGCAAUGAGCAUAGCUGAAAUAUUGCGCCAUAAGUAACUAGUAAAGAAGAGGCAAACUUUGACCUUUGAGCUCUAACUUCCAAGACCCACAGAGAAAAUGUUAGCUCUGAUUUUGUUUUUCAGGUGCAUGCAGUUUUAUUUUUCCUGUACAAUGUAGCUGUUGGCAUAACAUAGGAACAGGAGGCUGGCAAAACAGCAUGAAACAAGUAGUCUAGAUCUUUUCCAAACUCUUCAUGCUGCCACUACAUAAGUAAAAGCUUAAUAAAAUGUGCUACUAAGAUGCAAACAUCUUGCACACAUUCAAGUAUUUUCUUUAUUAACUUAAGUGAUAAACCUGCCCAUUCAAUGCACAUGUUCAAAUAUUAGCAAUCUUGACCAUCUGAGCCAAAAUCUAAUAUAAGAAACAAAGUGAUUUUCAGAUGAUGAUAACAUCCAACAUACCCUUUUCCAUGUCCAAAACUGAGAAGAUGGAACAAGAUUUCUACAGUCUGCUGGCUCACAAGAGAGAAGAAACUAUUGUGAGAGUUUGAACUUUGGUGUGUUGCCUUUAAGCAUUUGGUGGUACUCACUACUGCUUAAGAAGAUAUUUAGAAUUCCAACAUGAAAGGUCUGUUUCAUAUUUUAAGCCCAAUAAAUCUCGAUCACAGCUCUCAACUCAGACAGCAGUCUGGCAAAACUACAUGGACAGCAGACACUUUACUGUGGCUCUUUCUCCCUUCUUAGCCUCUCCUUCCUUCAGCCCUUCCCCCCUUGCCCCUAAAUUGAAGUUCAUUGUUGCCAGAAAAAACAAGAAACAGCAUAUCUGAAAUUUUAUCUUCCUUAAAUUUGCAGAACAGCCUACAGAGAAGAUUAACCAUAUAAGCUGGGCAUAUUUCAUUAUUCCUCUCAGGAUAUGCAUAAUGACUUCCCCCCAUCCAGUGUUUUCUGUUGCUAUUGAUUAUUGAGUUUCACUCCUCAGUAAAUUCAGUCUCAGCAAAGGUAGGACUGUAAUUUUUUCACGUUGUUUUGUUUUGGUAUUUGU